UAUGUAAUAUUCUUUUAUUUUUUUACCUUUUAUAUCGUGUCUUAUGUACAAAUAUUAACCAUGUUUUUUGUCUUAUGUAGAACAUCGCGAUUAACCAUGUUUUUUUUAAAUAUUGUUCGGUUUAUAAUGUGUAUAUACAAAUAAAUGUAAUGAUCAACGUUGGAAGUGUUUCGAGGUGGGCAUGAUAGAAGUUCAUUGUAUUUGACCUUUACGUACAUCGCACUUAUUUCAGCGUGUUUAUUUGAACCUGCAGAAUUGCCUUGGCGCGUUAGACGAAACGUACAUAAAGGUCAACGUCCCCGCAGAAGAUCGGCCUACAUUUAGAACACGUAAGGGGGGAAUUGCCACAAACGUUCUGGGGGUGUGUGACACGAAAGGGGAUUUCGUUUAUGUCCUCGCCGGUUGGGAAGGAUCUGCAGCAGACUCGUGGAUCCUACGUGAUGCCCUUUCACGAGAAAAUGGGCUACAAGUGCCAAAGGUAUGUCAACCUCAAAUCGUGUCCCGAGACAUGUCUGGACGAAGGAGGAGGGCACUCUUGUGGAAUUUUUAAUGGAGUUGGUGUCAAUGAGGGGAUGGAAAUCAGAUAAUGGUACGUUCCGCCCAGGUUACCUUGCGCAGUUGGUACGCAUGAUGGUGGAGAAACUAUCUGGUUGAGCAACGACUGUAAUUGAUUGUAGAAUUAAGACACUGAAGCGAACAUUCCAGGCCAUUGUCGAAAUGCGGGGGCGAACGAGCAGUGGCUUUGGAUGGAACGAUGAAGAGAAAUGUAUCAUUGCAGAGAAAGAAUUAUUUGAUAAUUGGGUUAAGUUAAAUAUAAUAAUAUAAACGUCAUACAACGUUCACAAUGUACAUUUACUUAAUAAUUUUUCAAUCAGUAAUUAUACGUGAUAUUUUUUUCCCCGCAGUCGCAUCCUGCAGCGAAGGGACUCCUGAACAGACCAUCCCGUAUUACGACGAACUUACAUAUGUCUUCGGUCGCGAUAGGGCGACGGGUCGGUUCGCCUAGACAUUCGCCGACGUGGGGUCUAACGAGCCUGGCAGAUAUGACAGAUUUGAUAUGAGGGAUGAAAACAAGGAGUUCCCGCCCGUGUACAGCCAGGGGAUUGACCUCUCGCAGGACGAUGUACGUGCAUCUCGACCUUCUCGCGCUUCAGAGGGUAGGACCGGAUCGAGUGGAUCCAAGAGGAAGAGAGGAAGUCAGCGAGACUUGGAAGUUGAAGCCAUACAUCUGGCGCUCGACCAAACAAACAAGCAACUCAGGAUGAUUGCAGAGUGGCCUGCACGCACCCUUGCAAAUGACAACCAUGUGCGCAUGGAAUUCUUCCGCAUAUUGCGUGAGAUGCCAGAACUUACGAAUUUGGAUAAGGCGCUAUUGCAAAGGCAUCUUCUGUCUCGUAUGGACGACCUUCGGGGUUUCGUACUCAUGUCUAAGGAUGAGAGGGAGUGCUUUUGUAGAGUUCUCCUACGAGACAUCACGAGAUAGUUUAUGUUUCUACGGAUCUGGGUUGCUUAUUAUUUCCUUAUCUUUUUUUUUUUUUGUAUGAUGUUGACUGUUUAUGCAUUUCCUAUUGUAAAGAACUAUUUUUUUCCUUCGUAAUGUUUAUUUAAAAUUAAGGAAAA